rnacentral:rRNA from 1 species
AUAAUCCUACGGGGGGCAGCAGUGGGGAAUAUUGCACAAUGGGGGAAACCCUGAUGCAGCGACGCCGCGUGAGUGAAGAAGUCAUUCGUGAUGUAAAGCUCUAUCAGCAGGGAAGAAAAUGACGGUACCUGAGUAAGAAGCCCCGGCUAACUACGUGCCAGCAGCCGCGGUAAUACGUAGGGGGCAAGCGUUAUCCGGAUUUACUGGGUGUAAAGGGAGCGUAGACGGCCAGACAAGCCUGAAGUGAAAAUCCAGAGCUUAACGUUGGAGGUGCUUUGGAAACUGCCGGGC